ensembl:lncRNA
GUGAGCUCUGAGAUUCUGCAAUGGUAGCAAGCUCCCAGGUGAUGUCAAUGUACUCCACGGCCCCUACUCUGAGUAGCGAGUUGCUAAAGAAGAGAUAAAGUUGGGGUCAUAAGCAGGAGCCGGUGAAUAGUGUUUUGAUGGCGAUGCUACAGAAUUUGGAUUCUCUCUAAAAAAGAACAGGGGUAACAACGAUGCUUGGAUAACUUGAAACUGACGUUGGCUUCCUAAGUUUAUUGGAAGCUUGAAAGUCAUUCCCACCAGACAGCUUUCUCAUCAUCCCUGGGUAGAGCAUCACAUGCAUAUCUUAGUGUAGAGCCUGUUGCCCUGGAAGGUAAUGCUGAAUCACCCAUCUAUCUAUCAGAGUCCCUUGACUUUAAGCACUGGGAGACCAGUUAUGUCUUUUUCCGCAUUGAAUCCUCAAACUGUAUGCACCCCACACCUACCACUGUACCUGACCUAUACAACCUUUUUCCAUAAACCUUGGUCACAUGAUAUAUUCGUUCUAGAUCAGUGAUUUUCAAAUGUUAGCGUGUGUCCCAAUCACCUGGAUGGCUUUUUAAGGCAGAUUGCUGGAUCCCACGCCCACGGUUUGUGAUUCCGUACGUCUGGGAUGGAGAUCGAGAGUUUGCAGUUACAACAUGCUCCCAGGUGAUGCAGAUGCCACUGGUCUGGGGACCACACUUCGAGAACCACUGGUCUAGAAGAAUCACUGGUUACUUCCUACGAAGUGGUGUUAACAAAAGAGAUAAACUCUGCCUUCAAGUUCACCCACAGCAGGUUGGUGUCUUUGCAGAGGCACGUGAAAGUGUUUGCAUCUGGAGGUUAGUGAAUCUGAAGCUGGUCCUUUUCCUUUACAUAAAGGGCUUUGUCCCAGGGACUUGAUUGGCUCUGUUUCAUUAGCAUGACUCAACACAUGUACACAGGGCAAUUCAAUGGAUGUUUCCAGUUUUUGUUCUUUGAGUAGAAGGCCACCUGCAAAAACAGAACCUUGUUAUCUCAAAGAACAAGGUUCUGGGCCAUUAUUAUUUUAGAAAGUACUUUUUGCGUCUCUUGCUAAUGAACUACACAGCAAAUCAUCUGAAAAAGGAAUUUUUUAAGGCAUCGUUUCUUUCCUGCUCCCAGUGACUUAUUUCCAAGACUCAAGUUCUGUGUCAAAAUACUCUUAGCCUUCACGUGCGUUUCUAGAUAUAAGUGAAAACAGAUCAUAGGAAUUCUCCUCAAAGGGAAAUUGGUUUUAAAUGAACUGAACACAAUUAUUUAUUUAGUAGGCACAGUAGUUAAGAGCAAAAUAUUUAAGUAGUGUAGGACUGUCCAUCAUUGAGCAAGUUAAGUAAGCUGAUUGCUUUUUAAAAAACCAUAGUAUCUUUUUAUUAUGAAAAUAAUGUAUGUUAUUUUGAAAAAUUCCCAAACCACCAAAAAACAGAAGUAAAUAACCAGCGCUCCUAAUCGCACAGCCAGAGACAAUCAUUGUUAAUACAUAAAUGUCUGUCCCUCCCUUGGAAAAAAUGGCCUUGAGGAGUCAAAAUUAUUCUCUAUAGAGUAAAGCUGGCAAAAAGUGCUGUUGUUGACUAUUGGAUGACACAGAGUAGAACAUUUAUUUUUCAACCAAUCAAAAACAAUUCUAUUGGCAUUCUGAAUUUUCAGACGAAAACUCCAGUUUGUAUAGGUCUGGUAUAUAACAUCCCUGUGUUAUAAUUUCGUGGCUGGGCUAAAUGUAAGCCUUCAGUCCUUACUUUGGUAAAACAAGAAAGAUAUUUACACUGCACAUGUAGAAGACGUGGGUGGGCCUAUCUCUGUACACCUUUUUUUUUUUUCUAUUCACCAACAAGGCGAUAUAAAAAUAUUUACUGCUUUCCUAUAGGUUCAUGUGUGUGGUGUUGUG